UAGAUCUCUUGCACUCUGCAUUUGACUUUCUGGAGAAGCAACGUCUCCAAGUUUCCCCCUGCUGAGCACAUAUCCAAUACCCUCUCCUCUCCUCAGCCCCAAAGAAGUGAUGGAAUAUGUAGAUGCUGAUGAUGCAGGCCGGGAGCCUGGCACCUGUUUUCCUUUCACAGCAGAUGAAGACAAGGCAUCAAGAGGCUGGGGCCAAAUUGCACAGCGGCUAUCUGAAGAAAAGCCAUUCAACCUCCAUCAUCAGCCAAGAGGGUUGAGACAGCUUGGUUGUGAAGAUCUGGGCAUUCCUGAAGUUUAGUGGAGCAGGCAAUAAAGGAUCCUAAAGUGGAAGGGACCUUGGAGGUGGUCCAGUUAAAAAGGCCACGCCUGUGCAUGACUCUCCCUGGAACAUCACUACCAGAUGCUCAGCAAUCCUUUGUGUGACCAUCUGAUGACAGUUCAGUCUCUCUCCCUUUUGAAAAACUUCCCAAGUAUUUGAAAAUAUUACUGUCAGUAUUCUCCAAAAUAUCCUCACCUCCAUAAUUUGGCUACGUGUGUGAGAUAUAUUUGGAAUUGAAACCAGUAAGGAACUGGAUGCAAGAG
ensembl:lncRNA